AAACGUCUUCAGGAAGAGAAGGAGAAAGUUGAUAAGAAAUACAAAUCGGUAACAAAACCAAAGCCACUAAGUCAAGCUGAAAUGAGUCCUGCUGCAUCUGCAGCCAUCAGAAAUGAUGUCACAAAGCAACGUGCUGCACCAAAAGUCUCUCCUCAUGUUAAGCCUGAACAUAAACAGAUGGUGGCCCAGCAGGAAUCUAUCAGAGAAGGGUUUCAGAAAGGCUGUUUGCCAGUUAUGGUACUGAAAGCAAAGAAGCCCUUCACGUUUGAGACCCAAGAAGAAAAGCUGGUGAAACCCCAAAGAUCAAUACGCUUCAAACUCAGCCCCUUGGAACAAUUGUGAAUGGUUUGUUUGUAGUCCAGAAGGUAACAGAAAAGAAGAAAAAUGUAUUAUUUGACCUAAGUGACAACACUGGGAAAAUGGAAGUACUGGUGGUUAGAAAUGAGGACACAAUGAAAUGUAAGGAAGGAGAUAAGGUUCGACUUACAUUCUUCACCCUGUCAAAAAA
rnacentral:sRNA from 1 species